AUGACUAUUCUAUCUCUCGAAACAUGUAGGGCUUAUUUGGUUGGCGUCCUCGCUGUGCCGCGCCUUGCCUGGAGCAUCGCAGGGAUCUGUUGGGAGUUUUUUUGGUUGUUGCCGUCAAAUGAAAACUUGCUUGCCGAGGCAUCCACACAUCUUGAUUGUCCUAGAAGAUGUGUGACUGGAACGUUGGCAUCGAUCGUUCUAGAAAGUGAUUGGGGGAAACAACAACGACACUACAACGACGUUGCAUCCGGUGUAGGAGAAGCUCCACUCUUUGAGACGACGCCAUCACUUGUGUACUGUGGAAGAGCUCUGACUGCCAGCCACAGAAAUGAGGUCGAAUGCCCUGCCGGAGCUCUACCUUUCAUUGCAAGGAAUCAUGAUUCAGCUCUAACUCAAAUUUUCAUUGUAUCCCAUUUCUAA
rnacentral:rRNA from 1 species